rnacentral:rRNA from 1 species
GAUGAACGCUGGCGGCGUGCCUAAUACAUGCAAGUCGUGCGAACAGACGAGGAGCUUGCUCCUCUGACGUUAGCGGCGGACGGGUGAGUAACACGUGGAUAACCUACCUAUAAGACUGGGAUAACUUCGGGAAACCGGAGCUAAUACCGGAUAAUAUAUUGAACCGCAUGGUUCAAUAGUGAAAGACGGUUUUGCUGCCACUUAUAGAUGGAUCCGCGCCGCAUUAGCUAGUUGGUAAGGUAACGGCUUACCAAGGCAACGAUGCGUAGCCGACCUGAGAGGGUGAUCGGCCACACUGGAACUGAGACACGGUCCAGACUCCUACGGGAGGCAGCAGUAGGGAAUCUUCCGCAAUGGGCGAAAGCCUGACGGAGCAACGCCGCGUGAGUGAUGAAGGUCUUCGGAUCGUAAAACUCUGUUAUUAGGGAAGAACAAAUGUGUAAGUAACUAUGCACGUCUUGACGGUACCUAAUCAGAAAGCCACGGCUAACUACGUG